GCACUAGGUGGUGGGGGGACAUUCCACGUUCUCCGCGCCGUAGCUAACGCAUUAAGUGCCCCGCCUGGGGAGUACGGCCGCAAGGCUAAAACUCAAAGGAAUUGACGGGGGCCCGCACAAGCGGCGGAGCAUGCGGAUUAAUUCGAUGCAACGCGAAGAACCUUACCAAGGCUUGACAUCCACCGGACCGCCCCAGAGAUGGGGUUUCCCUUCGGGGCUGGUGGACAGGUGGUGCAUGGUUGUCGUCAGCUCGUGUCGUGAGAUGUUGGGUUAAGUCCCGCAACGAGCGCAACCCUCGUUCUAUGUUGCCAGCACGUGAUGGUGGGGACUCAUAGGAGACUGCCGGGGUCAACUCGGAGGAAGGUGGGGAUGACGUCAAAUCAUCAUGCCCCUUAUGUCUUGGGCUUCACGCAUGCUACAAUGGCCGGUACAAAGGGUUGCGAUACUGUGAGGUGGAGCUAAUCCCAAAAAGCCGGUCUCAGUUCGGAUUGAGGUCUGCAACUCGACCUCAUGAAGUCGGAGUCGCUAGUAAUCGCAGAUCAGCAACGCUGCGGUGAAUACGUUCCCGGGCCUUGUACACACCGCCCGUCAAGUCACGAAAGUUGGUAACACCCGAAGCCGGGGCCUAACCCCUUGUGGGAGGGAGCCUC
rnacentral:rRNA from 1 species